AAUUAAAUUAGUCCUGGGGCCCUACUACCACCGCUUAAAGUAAUAAAUGUUUAAAUAUUGUUUUGACAGUUUCAUACAAGUUUUAUAUGAAAAUGUCGAAACAAUAUUAAAACAUUACUACUUUAAGCGAUGGUAAUAAGG